UACGUAGGGUGCGAGCGUUGUCCGGAAUUACUGGGCGUAAAGGGCGCGUAGGCGGCAUGACAAGUCACUUGUGAAAUCUCCGGGCUUAACUCGGAACGGUCAAGUGAUACUGUCGCGCUAGAGUGCGGAAGGGGCAAUCAGAAUUCUUGGUGUAGCGGUGAAAUGCGUAGAUAUCAAGAGGAAUACCUGAGGUGAAGACGGGUUGCUAGGCCGACACUGACGCUGAAGCGCGAAAGCCAGGGGAGCAAACGAG
rnacentral:rRNA from 1 species